rnacentral:rRNA from 1 species
UACGUAGGGUGCAAGCGUUAAUCGGAAUUACUGGGCGUAAAGCGUGCGCAGGCGGUUCGCUAAGACCGAUGUGAAAUCCCCGGGCUUAACCUGGGAACUGCAUUGGUGACUGGCGGGCUAGAGUAUGGCAGAGGGGGGUGGAAUUCCACGUGUAGCAGUGAAAUGCGUAGAGAUGUGGAGGAACACCGAUGGCGAAGGCAGCCCCCUGGGCUAACACUGACGCUCAGGCACGAAAGCGUGGGGAGCAAACAGG